ACGAACGCUGGCGGCGUGCUUAACACAUGCAAGUCGAACGGAAAGGCCCUGCUUUUGUGGGGUGCUCGAGUGGCGAACGGGUGAGUAACACGUGAGUAACCUGCCCUUGACUUUGGGAUAACUUCAGGAAACUGGGGCUAAUACCGGAUAGGAGCUCCUGCUGCAUGGUGGGGGUUGGAAAGUUUCGGCGGUUGGGGAUGGACUCGCGGCUUAUCAGCUUGUUGGUGGGGUAGUGGCUUACCAAGGCUUUGACGGGUAGCCGGCCUGAGAGGGUGACCGGCCACAUUGGGACUGAGAUACGGCCCAGACUCCUACGGGAGGCAGCAGUGGGGAAUAUUGCACAAUGGGCGGAAGCCUGAUGCAGCAACGCCGCGUGCGUGAUGACGGCCUUCGGGUUGUAAACCGCUUUCGCCUGUGACGAAGCGUGAGUGACGGUAAUGGGUAAAGAGGCACCGGCUAACUACGUG
rnacentral:rRNA from 1 species